UACGGAGGGUGCGAGCGUUGUCCGGAAUCAUUGGGCGUAAAGGGCGCGUAGGUGGCCCGGUCAGUUCGUGGUGAAAGCGCGGGGCUCAACCCUGCGUCGGCCAUGAAUACUGCCGCGGCUGGAGCACUGUAGAGGCAGGCGGAAUUCCGGGUGUAGCGGUGGAAUGCGUAGAGAUCCGGAAGAACACCGGUGGCGAAGGCAGGUCUCUGGGCUGUAACUGACGCUGAGGAGCGAAAGCAUGGGGAGCGAACAGG
rnacentral:rRNA from 1 species